AAUAGAUACCCAGGUAGUCCAUGCCGUAAACGAUGUCUACUAGCCGUUGGGGCCCUUGAGGCUUUAGUGGCGCAGCUAACGCGAUAAGUAGACCGCCUGGGGAGUACGGUCGCAAGACUAAAACUCAAAUGAAUUGACGGGGGCCCGCACAAGCGGUGGAGCAUGUGGUUUAAUUCGAUGCAACGCGAAGAACCUUACCUGGCCUUGACAUACAGAGAACUUUCCAGAGAUGGAUUGGUGCCUUCGGGAACUCUGAUACGGGUGCUGCAUGGCUGUCGUCAGCUCGUGUCGUGAGGUGUUGGGUUAAGUCCCGCAACGAGCGCAACCCUUUUCCUUAUUUGCCAGCACUUCGGGUGGGAACUUUAAGGAUACUGCCAGUGACAAACUGGAGGAAGGCGGGGAUGACGUCAAGUCAUCAUGGCCCUUACGGCCAGGGCUACACACGUGCUACAAUGGUCGGUACAAAGGGUUGCUACUGCGCGAGCAGAUGCUAAUCUCAAAAAGCCGAUCGUAGUCCGGAUCGCAGU
rnacentral:rRNA from 1 species